rnacentral:rRNA from 1 species
AUUGAACGCUGGCGGAAUGCUUUACACAUGCAAGUCGAACGGCAGCACGGACUUCGGUCUGGUGGCGAGUGGCGAACGGGUGAGUAAUGUAUCGGAACGUGCCCAGUCGUGGGGGAUAACGUAGUGAAAAUUACGCUAAUACCGCAUACGAUCUAUGGAUGAAAGCGGGGGAUCGCAAGACCUCGCGCGAUUGGAGCGGCCGAUAUCAGAUUAGGUAGUUGGUGGGGUAAAGGCCCACCAAGCCAACGAUCUGUAGCUGGUCUGAGAGGACGACCAGCCACACUGGAACUGAGACACGGUCCAGACUGCUACGGGAGGCAGCAGUGGGGAAUCUUGGACAAUGGGCGAAAGCCUGAUCCAGCCAUUCCGCGUGCAGGAUGAAGGCCCUCGGGUUGUAAACUGCUUUUGUACAGAACGAAAAGGUUUCUACUAAUACUAGGAGCUCAUGACGGUACUGUAAGAGUAAGCACCGGCUAACUACGUGCCAGCCGCCGCAGUAA